CAGAGUUAAACUGUGAUGCAUGCCGGUUCUGCGUGGCUGGAUUGUUGGCGAGAUUCAUUUUUCUGGUUUCCAGACUCCAGAGAAGAGCAGUUCUCGGACAGUUUCCGAAGUAGCCUCGUCCAACUCGCUGGGAUGUUCCUCAGGGUCGUGGCAGCCGGUAGCAAACGAGCAAAGUUCCGGGGCUGGGUGCCGGUGUCUGGCCGCGAGCUGCUCGCUUAACAGCCCCCGGUAGCCGAUUGAAGCCCUGCAGCGGCCGGCGACCGCCUCCCUUUCGCCCUAUCUGCCAUUCUUCCAGGGUAGACCGGCCCGUCCCCGACAAUGCGGCAGCUAUCGACCGCGGACGUUGGACUUUAAAGUCGGGGAACACGUCAGCAAUAUCCUGUCCAGCGGUCUCUCUCCUUGAACCGAGAUUGUCGCGUGCGAGGGGAUAUGAAUAGCCCGGUCCCGCCGCCCGCGUCGAGACAGUUCUCCCCGUGGCGAAUAAAAAUGCAACCUCCGCGAUUAUGAUGCGACUGAACAGGGAUCUUGGGUGAGCUUUCUUGUUCCUGAUUCUUGAAUCGUGCUUCGGUUCUUUUGGGGAUGAGAUGUUGAGAAUGAAGUGGAGGUUUGUAUAGAGGAAUUGAGGAUCUUUAGGUGUUUUAGAGGUUAAUGGUGAUUUUGUGUUAUUUGCAUUAUGGGCAAUUUUGCAGCGCUUCUGUUAUUUCGGUUUGAAGAAAUGGCCUUGGAAAAUGGGGAUUUGAGAGAAUUUUGUUUGGUUAUAAGUAGGUAGAAUACUUUAUUUGUUAAAUAUCAUGUAAGAUGAUAAAAUAAGAUUGAAUGUUUUCUGAACAAUCUAUUCUAGCAUCUACUUGAUCAACUAUA